rnacentral:pre_miRNA from 1 species
AAAAGUGAAGCUGCCAGCAUGAUCUAGGUUUGGUUAUACAAUAGUAGUAUUGAGAAGGAACUAUAUACGUUUUUUUUUUACUAUACCACAAAAAAAGAUUACUCUCUUUCACAAAAUAGGUAUUAAAGUGCCAUGAUUUUUGCAUUACUAAUGGGAAAAUAAAUUUUGGACACCGAAUUUCUCACUUUUUUUUUAUAUAGAUAGGAAAUAGGUUUUGGUGGUAUUUUUUUGUGGUACAGUAAAAAAUAGCCGCUAUAUCCAUACAAGUAGUACUGCUAGCAUAACCCUGACUAGGUCAUGCUGUGCUAGCCUCACUCCUU